AAAAAAUUAGUUAAUUAUUAUAAUAUUAGUUUGUCAGACUAAAGUUACUCGGGAGUAUUUUUUU
rnacentral:tRNA from 1 species